rnacentral:rRNA from 1 species
CACGUAGGAGGCGAGCGUUGUCCGGAAUCAUUGGGCGUAAAGAGCGCGCAGGCGGCUUGGCAAGUCGGGUGUGAAAUCCCGGGGCUCAACCCCGUGACUGCAUCCGAUACUGUCAGGCUAGAGGUAGGUAGGGGAGAUCGGAAUUCCUGGUGUAGCGGUGAAAUGCGCAGAUAUCAGGAGGAACACCGGUGGCGAAGGCGGAUCUCUGGGCCUUACCUGACGCUGAGGCGCGAAAGCUAGGGGAGCGAACAGG